rnacentral:rRNA from 1 species
GGCGAACGCUGGCGGCGUGCUUAACACAUGCAAGUCGAACGGUGAAGCUCCAGCUUGCUGGAGUGGAUCAGUGGCGAACGGGUGAGUAACACGUGAGCAACCUGCCCCUGACUCUGGAAUAAGCGCUGGAAACGGCGUCUAAUACUGGAUACGAGAAGGGUCCGCAUGGGCACUUUCUGGAAAGUUUUUCGGUUGGGGAUGGGCUCGCGGCCUAUCAGCUUGUUGGUGAGGUAAUGGCUCACCAAGGCGACGAAGGGUAGCCGGCCUGGGAGGGGGACCGGCCACACUGGGACUGAGACACGGACCAGACUCCUACGGGAGGCAGCAGUGGGGAAUAUUGCACAAUGGGCGAAAGCCUGAUGCAGCGACGCCGCGUGAGGGAUGACGGCCUUCGGGUUGUAAACCUCUUUCAGCAGGGAAGAAGCGAAAGUGACGGUACCUGCAGAAGAAGCACCGGCUAACUACGUG